UACGUAGGGUGCAAGCGUUAAUCGGAAUUACUGGGCGUAAAGCGUGCGCAGGCGGUUGUGCAAGACAGAUGUGAAAUCCCCGGGCUUAACCUGGGAAUUGCAUUUGUGACUGCACGGCUAGAGUGUGUCAGAGGGGGGUAGAAUUCCACGUGUAGCAGCGAAAUGCGUAGAUAUGUGGAGGAAUACCGAUGGCGAAGGCAGCCCCCUGGGAUAACACUGACGCUCAUGCACGAAAGCGUGGGGAGCAAACAGG
rnacentral:rRNA from 1 species